rnacentral:rRNA from 1 species
GAUCCUGCUCAGGAUGAACGCUAGCGACAGGCUUAACACAUGCAAGUCGAGGGGCAGCGGGGAGUAGCAAUACUUCGCCGGCGACCGGCGCACGGGUGAGUAACACGUGUGCAACCAACCCCGUACCGGGAGAUAACCCGCGGAAACGUGGACUAACAUCCCAUAAUACUGGAGGAUCGCAUGAUCUUUCAUUUAAAAUUCCGGUGGUACGGGACGGGCACGCGCGACAUUAGGUAGUUGGCGGGGUAACGGCCCACCAAG